AGGAUAAUAGUUAAUUAUAACAUUUAACUCGCACUUAAAAAGUAUUGAUCUAUCAAUUUAUCUUA
rnacentral:tRNA from 1 species